CAAUUUUGAGUCCUCUCCAGCAGUGAGUGAAGGACCUUCUGCAUUAAUCUAACUGCUUUAUUUUUUGUAUUUUGACAAAUUUGUGUUUCCAGGAAGUGGCUGAGGUCAGCGCAGCAUCUGUUGCUACUUACGUCCAAGAUGCAUGCGCUGCUUUGUGUUGGUUGCCAAGGAAACCAAGUCUACAAUCACCACUGAAUGGUCACAUCUUCAAAGAACCCAUGAGACGGUCAAGCCUGAUGAAUCUGAUGAAACCACAGUACUAUGGAUUAUAUAAACCUACAGUUGGAAGACGUCACAGAUGAGUGGACAAUGGAGUUAAUUAUUUUCAGUGUAGCUACUGCAGACAUUACCGGUUGAGGGUUGAUAUCCAGUGUGUUUGUUAAUGCUUCAUGGUGACCCUGAUAUAACAGAAUGUCUCUGAACAUAGCAUGAUGGACGGCCCCUGCUGAUGGUGUUCAGAGCUGUGAUUGGAUCAAGCAUUUAGUGAGGUGUUUAAAGGGUAUUUCACCUAAGAGUGAAGACUCUGUCAUCAUUUACUCAACCUCAUGUCGUUCCAACCCUGUAUGACUAGACACAAAAGAAUAUAUCUUGAAGAAUGCUCAGUGUUGGCUAGUAACCGAUUACAUGUAAUCUGGAUUACGUAAUUAGAUUCCAAUUACAUUAUAUAACAUUUUAAAGUGCUCAAAAUCAGAUUACAGUUACUUUUUUAUAGAUUACCUGAUUACAUAUUAUUCACACAGUGGCAGUAAAUUAUUUAUAAUGUAUUGAUUUGCCCUCCAAAAAUAAUAUUUAUGCAUACGUUGAUCGAUAUUUUGAAAGAUCAUCUGUAUGACUUGGAGUAAUUUUUCAUGUUUUUAUGGUGUUUUGUCCUUUCAGGAGUUUGACAGAGCCUGAUCAUUCUGUUCUUUCAUCACACAGGAAACAGAAGUGUGAAAAAAAAUGUUACAUUUUUCCUUGAAUUAAGAAAGUCAAACUGGUUUGGAAUAACAUGAGAGUGAUUAAAUGCUACUCUUUUUGUUAUCAUAGUCCAGAAAUGUAAAGAAUCGCUAUUGCUCAUGCAAACAUCUGCAGAUCUUCCCUCCUGUCUGCUUUCUUCUGCUGCCCCUGUGGCCCCUGGAUGGAGUGAAGACGUAGUCAGGCCUCACUUUUGCGCAGGUUUCCUUUGAGAGACAAUGGGGGGGCAGCACAGGGACGUUCCAGGGCCGAAGGGGCAGAUUUAUUGCUGAGGAAACAGAGACGGGUGUCAAAGAGAACAAUAGGGGAUUCACACAGCA
ensembl:lncRNA